GAUGAAGAACGUAGCGAAAUGCGAUAAGUAAUGUGAAUUGCAGAAUUCAGUGAAUCAUCGAAUCUUUGAACGCACAUUGCGCCUGCCAGUAAUCUGGCGGGCAUGCCUGUUCGAGCGUCAUUUCAACCAUCAAGCCCCAGGCUUGUGUUGGGGGCCUGCAGCUGCUGCAGCCCCCUAAAAGCAGUGGCGGACUCGCUGUCAUACCGAGCGCAGUAGUUACAUCUCGCUCUGGGCAUGGCGGCGGGCACCUGCCGUAAAACACUCUUUCUAAGGUUGACCUCGGAUCAGGUAGGAAUACCCGCUGAACUUAAGCAUAUCAAUAAGCGGAGGA
rnacentral:misc_RNA from 1 species